CACACCAUGGGAGUGGGUUGCAAAAGAAGUAGGUAGCUUAACCUUCGGGAGGGCGCUUACCACUUUGUGAUUCAUGACUGGGGUGAAGUCGUAACAAGGUAACCGUAGGGGAACCUGCGGUUGGAUCACCUCCUUACCUUAAAGAAGC
rnacentral:rRNA from 3 species